GGCCUCCUGGUACUUACCACAGGCUGUGUUCAUACACUGACUGUACAGAAAGAAGAAGCAAAUUAAACCUCCCCACAUACACCUCAGCCCAGGACCUGUGCCUGGUCUGUAUUGUGAAUGGGGAGACAUGG
rnacentral:snoRNA from 1 species